CCCCCCACCACCUCCUCCCCAAAUCAAGACGUUCUCCUUCCCUUCUCGUUCUCUUUCUCCUCCUCCUCCCUUGGCUGCUCCACCAAAAUUCCCCCCAACUCAGCGCCUAAUCCUUGAGGGGAAGUAGCAAAAUGGAACGAGAAGAGCGAGAGGAGCACGGAGAGGUGUAUCGUCGAGGUGGAUUGGUCCUUUUUCCUCCCUUCCCGUUGCCCUAGGGUUUGGGGAAAAGAAAGGUGAUGUUGCUACGAGGCAUCUAUGCCAUGUCUACAUGGUCGGUAAAGGCAAGUAAACGUAGCGGUGGUUGCUACAUGCUUUAACUUGCUAUUUAUUCUACCUCUACUUUAAAAUUCAGAACCACAACUAAUAUAAUAUGAUCUAUUUAACCAUAUUCUAAUUGGGUUGAUAUAUGUUCUAUGGGUUCGAUACUUCGAUGUGAAUAUAUUUUUCUUUCUAACCAAUGUAGCUAUGUGGGUAUUUUUCCGUCUACUUUAACAUGAGUGCCUAUAUGCAUAAAAUGUUUGUUAGACCAUGGUUUUUUAUAUUAUGGUUGAGGUUGAUAAAUCAUUUACAUAUGACUUAUACAUGAUAAUUUAUCCUAUGACAUGUCUUUCUGUGAGUAAAAUCAAUGGAAUCCUUGGCAGUUUACUAAUGAGUGGACUUGUUAUAGUAGAGGUUAUGUUAAUCUUAGUGUAUGAUAACCUCUAUGGUGAUUAUGCUACUUAUGUCUCCUAGUGUUAUCAUACAUUGGGUAAAUUGAAGUUUGGAUUACAAAUAAGGUUCAAAGCAGUUUUCUACUAUUUUUUGGCAUAUGUAUGAAAAUAUAAGGAUUGAACUUUGGGUUGACUAGCUCUAUUUAGAAACGGUAUUUUCUUUCUUUGAUAUGAUAAAUAUGCUUCGGGCUUGAAUUAUGAAAUUAGAGUUCUUCUCUAUGUUUAAAUUACUCAUAACUACAUGAUAUCCUAUUUUUUUAGAUUAGGGAGAUCUAUAGAUAUGAUGGUAUGAUUAAUUAUUUGGUUGAUGUUUGGCAUAUGUGUGAUUACAUUAUUUAAUCAUGACUGACGCUAUUUAUAUUACAGAAGCACCGCUUGUAUCUCUCUACAUUAAUUAUUAUGGACUAUUCUCUUUUUCCAUCAUGUAGUACAUGGUGCUUGGAUAUGGAGUAUAUGGUAUUUGGAUAUUAUUUGGAUAUGUCAUUCAUCUUAUGACAUUGCAUUGCAUUGCAUUGCAUUGCAUUGGCAUAUGGAGUUAUGUCAUGAACCUAUGGUUCCGACCGUACCGGUACAGCAUCGUUUAUUGGGCAUAACAAUGCAGCUUCAUACCUUGUUGGGUAUGAAGGCAGGAGUUCAUAUGCAUCCAUGUGCAUACAUCAUUGGUUUGGCAUAGAGAUGCAGCUUCAUACCUUGAUGGGUAUGAAGGCAGGAGUUUAUGUGCAUUUAUAUGCAUUUCUGUAUGGUUUUGAGGGUUGGAUGUGAUGAAGUGUAUUACGAUAUACUAUGAAUAAUUAUGUCUCACAUUGCGCUAUGGCUUAUCAGACUUUGGAUAUACUAUAUGUGGACGGUAUGGAUACUUUGAUAUUGGUUUAAUGUAGUCGCAUCGAAACUAACAUGAGAAGCGACACUUUUCCUAGUGAGGUGAGUUACGGUUCGCUAAAGGGAUUGUGGAGAUAUUAUUUGUUUUCCCUUCCUUGCAAUUCGUAAGCCUUUCAAUUUAUAUACGUGUUGUUUUAUUUGGUUAUGGGAUAUGAUAUACAUUAAACUACUUUUUCCAUGUUGUUAUGACAACCUAUAUGUUAUUGGUUUUGUGGGUGAUUUUCUAUUGUUCUAUUAGGAUCAUAAAUUAUUCCUCAGGUGUAACUCAUUACAAACUAAUGCUAUGUUUUCAUACCAUGAUCACCUAAUUCUUAGAGAAAGAAGAGGAUAUGCGAAGGGCUAUUUUAUACUUGUUACGACAUUAAAUGAUUAAUUAAUCUGAUGUGGUUUAAAUAGUUUAUUAAAAAAGUUUGCUUGCUGAGAUUAUUCAACCUCACCCUUAUUUUUCCCUCCUCAGGUUGUCCUUUGAAGAGAGCAUGGGGAAAUGGGUUAGUUGGAUAUCCUACACUUUUACAAGAUCCUAUAAUGCUAAGACGGUUUGUCCUGAGUCCGAGAGAUAGUAGAGAACCCUUGCUAAUGUUUGUUAAAGAUAAAGUUGUUCUGUUGGAGUAUCACGCUUUAACAUAUUGUAUAUCUAUUGUUGCUUCCGCUUUGUGCUCGCUUCAAGGUUUUUGCUGUCGAAAUUUUCAAUUUCGGCUUCUGGUAGUGUAGUUGUGUAGCAUCCUAGGAUUGCGUGAUACCUGGGGUGUUACAUAUUUGCAAUGAAUAUAUUCUAAUGGAUAUACAACCAUCUAUUUCUGCUU